AUCACUAUUUUAGAGGCAGUUUGCCGUGGCCUCCUUUGUAGGGCUGCCAGAAAGUGAGUGGCCUAAAAUCACCCAGCUGGCUACAUGUCUAAGGCAGGACUAGAACUCAUACUCUUCUGAUUUUCAGACUGGUGCCUUAACCAUUAGACCAAACUGGCUGCAAUUCUGGCUUACUGGGAUUUAAAUUAGACCAUUAUGUACUGUAAACUAUGCUUUAUAAGUUAGCAAAUUAAAUGCAUCAAGCAAACCAUGAUUCAUUCAAGAAAAGUGGUUGACAUAAAACUUAUUUUCGCACAAAAAUCACUGUGGUGUUGGGGUGAAGGUAUUGGACUAGGAUGGGGAGGGUCACGUUCUGAUUCAUUUUCAGCUAUGGAUUUUCACAGUAUGUCUUAAGGCCAGCCAUACUGUCUCAACCUAACAGGUAUAAAAUAGAGACCCUCAUGGAAAUUCUUGAACUUCUGUGGAAAAGGCAGAAUGAACGUUUAAUAAAUAGUAGCACUACAGUACAUAAGCAAUCUUAGUAAGACACCAGUGGUGGGUUCUAACCAGUUUUACCACCGGUUUGCAUUGCCCGCGUGCUUUGCGUGCAAUCAAAACUUGCAUUUCGCGCAAGCGCAUUGAGUGAAAAAACAGCUGAGGCAUGGCAAUCCCCUCUGCUGCGCCUUAUAGCUGAGCUAAAAACAAAGGAAUAAAGGUAGGUAUAGUGUGGGGGUGGGUGGGAGGGCCCAGAUAACCUUAGGAGCAAACUGGUUCGUUCUCAUAUCAAGAUUUCCGCUACCAGCUCUCCCAAACCGGGGAGAACCGGUAGCAACCCACCACUGUAAGAGACCCAUCUCAUAUGACCCUCUUCAGCCCCAGGGUUCUUGUAGGAAAGUUGUAGAUUUGAUUUUGUGGUGGGGAUAAGACAAGUAUAAAGAGAGGCUUGAUAUAUCAAAUGUAAAUUCAUAUUAAGGAUAUUUUGUUCUUUUCUUUCAGAUUCUUCUUGCUACUGUAUUGCUUUCGUGGGGCUACGUCAUUUACGCAACCCGAAUAGCAGCCAAAUGGCAAUUGAAGGAGAUGUAUCCCACACAAGCCCAGAAUAUUUAAGACACCUCCAGAGUGGAAUACCACAGAAAUACAAGCACAUUCUAUAAUACCAUAAAUAAUAAUCUGCAAAAACCUGCAUUCCAUACCAGAGUGGCUAAACUGCAGUAGCAACAUUGAAGCUUCAGAAGUACAGAUUUAGUAUUCUGAUACUUAACACUAAUAGCAUAUAAUUGAGAAAAAAUGGGAAAAUAUCCUUGAAUAUCUUAUUUUUUAAAAAGAGAAAUUUACUGUUCAGGCUGGAGCACAGUAUUGCAGGCAGUCUACAAGCCCAGAUUACAGAAUGUAGCAAUCUUCUGAAUGAAUAAAUAAUCGAUAUUUCAGAGUUGAUAUGGAAAAUCAGCCUUAUGAAAGACAUAGAUUAAGAAACUAAUCAAGAAGCAGUUUGGCAGCAGAUCAAGAAGUCGAUCUAACAGUAGAUCAGGAACUGCCAGGCAUCCUGAUAGAGGACAUUCUGGAAAGAUAUAUAGGAAAACAAAAUAUAAAAUGCAAUUACUAGAAGAGGAUCCAAAGAGAUAACAAAGAAACCUCUUCUCUAAGACAAAGCAAUGCUCUAAAGACAUCCUUACCAAAGCAUUAGGCCAUUUGUGGGAAAGCUGCUAGCAAUACAGACAGGCACUCUCCAGUGGAGAUUCAAGAAGAAAAAACAAUCAAAAAGCCCAAGUGUUGAAAGUAUUUAUGAAGUUUGGAAAGUCACUGAUACAACAAGACAAACAGGAUGACAAUUAAAAACCAGAAUUCAUGAACACCAGCUGACAGUCAACGGGCAUGACCAGAAGUCCCUGAUCUUGAGCCACGUCGACAAUAUACAAAGUCCCAUUUCAACUGGGACAAAGCCAGAAUCAUUAGCCAUGCUAAAACUCAUCAUAUAUGGGAAUUCAUCGAAGUCUAGUACUAUACAAAUGGAUCCAUCAACAAACACAUUGAUUUAGAACCACCUAUAAAAAACAGGACUGUUCACAAUCAACAAUGGAACCAACCGCCCCCUCACCAGCUGAAUUUUGCACCAAGCCAUUCACAUGACCUACUGACCACACAAGACCUAUAUAAACAAGAGAGAAGCGGAACAAGACACUUCACCCAAAGUCCCGCUGAAGAUAUUAUCUAGUUUGGUAAUAAAACAUUCGGGAGCUAAAUGAUGCAUAUGAUGAGCAGACAAAUUACGAUUGUCCAGCUCCAGCAGGUAAAGAAGGAAGCAACUGAGUCUUCUAUUAUUACAAUAUCUCCAGAUGAAACUGAAACCCAAGUACCUGAACAUCGCUUUCAGAAGUGACACAGGCCAGGCACCCUGGGAUGACGAAACACCAGGCCCAUCUUAUUUCAAUUUAGGGCAAAUUCAUGCUUCUCCAUCUACUGAGACACCUCUGGAAGCGCUGAUGAAUACCCUUCUGCAAACAUAACUGGGUUACAGAUGUCACAACCAGCAAAUAUAGAAGUGAAUGGUGACAAUUGUGAUUCUUUUGACAACUCUGUUGUUGACUGUAAAACCAUUACGAGGUAAAAACUUAGUAACGAGGACAGCCAUGCAUCUGGAUCCUGAUGGCUGGCAACUCUGUGGUAGACCCAAGAAAAGGGGGAUAGAUUGCAUCAAAGAGGAUAUGAAAUACGUGGGUGUCGCCCCUGAAGAUGCACUGGAUUGAGCCAAAUGGAGAAGACUCUGCCAUAACAUGGAAGUAGCACUAGAAGAAAGAGCAGCCUAUCCAACUGUGCAGCUUUAGUGCCACAGAUGCUAGUAGAUCUGCAACACCCUCCUCUGCAGGUUCCAGAGAUGGUGCUGCCAAUCAUAAGAAUAAUGAAUGCCUCUCCUCAGAAAAGAAGAUCCAAGAGGAAUGAAAAAAGAGUGACUAAAGCAAGAAAAGCGCCUUAAAUUACUAUAUAUUCUUUGUUAAAUAUUCUUAGAAACCUUAUUUUUUCCUCUUUGUUACAAGUUUUUGCUUUGUAGUUUAACCAAUAUUUAAUGUCCUUAUACAUCUUGUUUACAUUAUAUAGCUUUAUAUAAAAAGGCCUUGGUUUUUAAUUUUUGAUUAACAAUGGUUGAAGCAACCAGAAGAACAAGAACAAGAACCAGAAUUUGUAUCUCCUUUGACUCCUGAAGCGGUAAAAGAGGAAGUUAUGAAGAAUGUUUUUAUAAUAAUUACUUGUUUACUAUUGUUUUGAUCUUUGUUAUAAUGCAUAAAGAAGAACUUGUUUUAUGAAAUUUAAUUUUAAUAAAUUAAAAUGUUGUAAAAUUGAGUCUGUUUCAUUUUACGACAUUUUUGAUUUACAACCCUAAUGGACAGGUUCCAAUAGGGUCAUACAUCAAGGACUAUGUUAAGUAUUACUAAAGUCUUUAUUUUUCCUCUUAGUUACAAUUUUUUGCUGUGUAUGUUAACGAAUAUCUAGGGUGUCUUUCUGCUUAUUGAUUACAUUAUAUGGCUGGAUGAAAAGGCCUUAAUUUUUAUAGUUUUUAAUGUUUUAAUAGUUAUUGUUUAAUAUUGUUUCUAACUUUGUUGUA